rnacentral:lncRNA from 1 species
GUUCAUGUUAUAAGGCAUGUAUUUUUUUGAAUAUUAUAGAGUAGAAAUUAGUAAGCUCUGAUAAGGCAAAGACUAGCAUUCGUGAAUAAUUAUAGAGAUAAAAAAUAUAACAGCAUAAUAAUCUGAUAUUAAAGUUUUCAUAUCAGAUAUCAUUUUGAUCUACUUUAUUCUUACUUCUCUUCCAUCAGAGUACGAUCUCUUUAAGAUCUCCCACAAGUAUGCACACUAAGGAUGGACAGUUAGUGAAUUACUAAUUAAAUAUGUGUAAGUAGAGAAGAGAUUGAGAGAA